rnacentral:rRNA from 1 species
UACGUAGGGGGCAAGCGUUGUCCGGAAUCAUUGGGCGUAAAGCGCGUGUAGGCGGCUCGAUAAGUCUGCUGUGAAAGUCCAGGGCUCAACCCUGGAAUGCCGGUGGAAACUGUCGAGCUAGAGUCCGGAAGAGGCGAGUGGAAUUCCUGGUGUAGCGGUGAAAUGCGCAGAUAUCAGGAGGAACACCAAUGGCGAAGGCAGCUCGCUAGGACGGUACUGACGCUGAGACGCGAAAGCGUGGGGAGCAAACAGG